AGGCUAAAGUCCGCUGGCUUGGAUGUCUAGUUGUUAACUAGAAUUUUACGGGAUCGAGGCCCGUUAGUUUAU
rnacentral:tRNA from 1 species